UCUUAUGGAUGAGCAAAGAGUGGUUUCUUGAGAUGGAAUCUGCCUCUUGUGCAGAUGCUAUGAA
rnacentral:pre_miRNA from 1 species